CUAGAAUGGGGGAUUAUCACGCUGAUACGUAUUACUUCCGCAUUUGGUGAUCUUUGUGCACUGUGACAUCCGGUGAAUAUCUCAUCACUCUGGCGAACCGAUGAUGGAGGACCGGCAGUUCACUUUCACUACAUCCCUGAUAAAUGUACCCAAAAUCACGUUUUCUGACGUUCACAGACUUCCCGAACAACAUUCCAUUACAGCCCGCUCCAAACUGGACAAGGGAUACAGUUUAUUUUUCGAGAAAUAUAUCUACGACUACGAAGGUGAGUGUCUGCUCUCUAGCUUACGCUAGGUAGGUUGGCUUAUGUUAACGUCAGUUUGGCGUCAGCUCAGACAGUUCAUUUUAAUUAUUCUGACGUUAGCGUUUGUCAGUGUCAACUACCUAACAGCAACAUACAAGUGUCCCUUUGCUAGAAUGAACAAUCCCCAGUACAUGCAUUGAUUUUUUUUUUUUCUACCAGUGUCCAACUUCAUUGAUAGGGAGGUGGCUGUCAGGUCUAGGUGUUACAGGUCGAUGAAGAAGCGAGAACAGCCCCACUAUUUGAAGGUUAUUUUAGGAAGCUAAGGCAUAAUGGCAAGAAGUUUGACCCCUUACACUGUUGCCUGUUUACAUCAUACUAUACCUUUGUGACAUAUGUACAGUAUGCAAAUAUCAAUAUCAUGAUAAUGUAACUUUGCAUUUAAAUUCUUUAAUAUCCUGUUUGUUGAAUCCAACAUGUUAAUGGUGUAAGGGUUUGCAAUGCUCUUCCUUACAUUUCUAUAUAAUUUGCAACAAUCUGUUUAUUUUAGUUUAACUUUAACAACUUAAAUAUUUGUAGAUUGUUUUCCAAGCUGACGGCGCCAAUCUUCAAGAAACCACAUGCAGCUGUACAGCAGCCAAGGUUCUUUGCAACCAUCUAGUGGCCUUGUUGUUCCAGAGUGCCCAUUACAGCAUGUUGCAGGUGAGAGCUGUACCACCACCUAUGGCCUGCACAAGCUCUCUGCAAACAUGGCAUCGACCAAGGACUACGGUAACAUUGUAGCUGCGCGGAGCUGCACCGUAUUGAAUAGACUUCCAGGCUAUUUUCAGCCGCGUUAUGAGCUGCCCCGCGUGCCGCGCUUCGCUCUGCGAGCAGUGUGUUCCAAACGUUACACACUGUUCGCAGAGCGAAGCGUGAAAAAUAGACUGGAAGUCUAUUCGAAGAGGUGCAGCGGAUAGGGCUGCGCAGCUGUACGUCUGGCUACGUUGGUUAACAUGGGAGUGAAUUGGAAGAGGCGCCGCUCCACGUGGCUACGGCGAGCAGUGUGUUUAUGCUACUACAAGCAAGAUACUAUUACAAUCAUGGGAAGAUGCCUCCCAUGACCAUCAUCUCGCCCAGGCGGGGCUCCACGGUGGGCCACGGGGCGUCCCAGAGAGGGCAGCUCGUCGUUGCUGUCCACAGCGUCCACUUCUGGUGGACCAACCCCAAGGAAACAUCAACAAUCCCCACAGUAAGUAAGAGUCGAUGACGUACACCGCGUCGUUGAGGGUGAUGCUGGUCUCUGCCAUGUUGGUGGACAGGACGACCUGCAGGAGGCAGGGAACAACAACAGGAGAUGGACAGGCAAGGCUGGAUUCCAGGCAGCUGGGCAGGCAGAGGAGCACACGGGGUGGAUGGCAGGCAGCUACGGGGUUGGUGAUCCUGGGGCGAGGACAACGCAGAGAUCUAAAGGUCCCAUGGCAUGCCAUCAGGUGUGGUGUGAUUAGCCGUUACAAGCCGUUUCGGAAAUCGGCCCCUUAUGACAUCACAGGUGGGCGUGUCCACCUAGAUGUGUGCUGGAUAGAUCAGUCUACUAGCCUACCCAGUGGACUGUAGCAAACGUUGCUCAUCUCUCCGUCAAGUUAUUAAAGAUAUGUGCAUCUGUUUAUGAUUUGUAUUUGUUAAUUAACCAUAAAGUUACAAUCCAUCUUGAUGGAUCCAAAUUUUUCUGUAUCACAUGUAGUCGCAUAUGUCAGUUUUCACUGUCUAUCCCCUACCUGCUCCUUAAUCACAUAUAUCAGUACUCACUGUCUAUCCCCUACCUGCUCCUUAAUCACAUAUAUCAGUACUCAC